rnacentral:tRNA from 1 species
GCCUGGCUGGCUGAGUUGGUAAAGCUUGUGACUCUUGAUCUUGAGAUUGUGAGUUUGAGCCCCCGUUGGGCA